rnacentral:rRNA from 1 species
GAGUAUUGAUCCUGGUCCAGGAUGACGCUAGCGGCAGGCCUAAUACAUGCAAAGUUCGAGGGGUAGAGAAUUUAGCUUUUUUCUAGAGACCGCGGCACGGGUGCGUAACGCGUAUGCAACCUACCUUAAUCUGGGGGAUAGCCCGAAAGAAAUUCCGAUUAACCGCAUAAAAUCCACAUCACAGCAAUUGUGAAAUGAUCAAAUAUUUAUAGGAUUAAAUGGGCGCGUGCAUUAGCUAUUGGCGGGGUAAACGGCCCACCAAGGCACGAUGGCUAGGGAUCUGAGAGGAAUGACCCCCCACACUGGUACUGAGACACGGACCAGACUCCUACGGGAGCAGCAGUAAGGGAUAUUGGUCAAUGGAGGCAACUCUGAAACCACCAUGCGCGUGCAGGAAGACAGCCCUCUGUCAGAUUAAACUGUCUUUUUAUUCGGGAAUAAACCUACUUACGUGUAAGUAGCUGAAUGUAACCGAAGGAAAUAAGGAUCGGCCUAACCCGUGCCAGCAGCCGCGGUAAAUACGAGGAUCCAAGCGUUAUAUCCGGAUUUUUAUUGGGUUUAAAGGGUGCGUAGGCGGCCUAAGUUAAAGUCAGGGGUGAAAGACGGUAGCUCAAUAUGGAGUGAUUCUGAUGGGCUUGAAUGGACUAGAGGUAGGCGGAAUGUGAAAGUAGCGGUGAAAUGCAUAGAUAUGUCUACAGAACACCGAUUGCGAAGGCAGCUUACUAUGGUCUUAUUGACGCUGAGGCACGAAAGCGUGGGGAUCAAACAGGAUUAGAUACCCUGGUAGUCACGCCCUAAACGAUGAAUACUCGCUGUUGGCGAUACCAGUCAGCGGCUAAGCGAAAGCGUUAAGUAUUCCACCUGGGGAGUACGGUCGCAAGAUUGAAACUCAAAGGAAUUGACGGGGGCCCGCACAAGCGGAGGAGCAUGUGGUUUAAUUCGAUGAUACGCGAGGAACCUUACCCGGGCUUGAAAGUUAGUGAAGUAUCCAAGAUGGAUGGGUCCGCAAGGACACGAAACUAGGUGCUGCAUGGCUGUCGUCAGCUCGUGCCGUGAGGUGUUGGUUAAGUCCCGCAACGAGCGCAACCCCUAUGUUUAGUUGCCAGCACGUAAAUGGUGGGGACUCUAAACAGACUGCCUGUCAAACAGAGAGGAAGGAGGGGACGACGUCAAGUCAUCAUGGCCCUUACGUCCGGGGCUACACACGUGCUACAAUGGACGGUACAGAGGGCAGCUAACACGCAAAGAAUGCCAAUCUCACAAAAGCCGUUCACAGUUCGGAUCGGGGUCUGCAACUCGACCCCGUGAAGUUGGAUUCGCUAGUAAUCGCGUAUCAGCAAUGACGCGGUGAAACGUUCCCGGGCCUUGUACACACCGCCGUCAAGCCAUGGAAGUUGGGGGUACCUAAAGUACGUAACCGCAAGGAGCGUCCCAGGGUAAAACCAUAACUAGGCUAAGUCGUAACAAGGUAGCCGUACCGGAAGGUGCGGCUG